GAUGAACGCUAGCUACAGGCUUAACACAUGCAAGUCGAGGGGCAGCAUGGUCUUAGCUUGCUAAGGCCGAUGGCGACCGGCGCACGGGUGAGUAACACGUAUCCAACCUGCCGUCUACUCUUGGACAGCCUUCUGAAAGGAAGAUUAAUACAAGAUGGCAUCAUGAGUCCGCAUGUUCACAUGAUUAAAGGUAUUCCGGUAGACGAUGGGGAUGCGUUCCAUUAGCUUGUUGGCGGGGUAACGGCCCACCAAGGCAUCGAUGGAUAGGGGUUCUGAGAGGAAGGUCCCCCACAUUGGAACUGAGACACGGUCCAA
rnacentral:rRNA from 1 species